rnacentral:rRNA from 1 species
GAUGAACGCUGGCGGCGUGCCUAAUACAUGCAAGUCGAGCGAACAGACGAGCAGCUUGCUCCUCAUUCGUUGGUGUCGGACGGGUAAGUAACACAUGGACAACCUACCUAUUAUCCUUGGAUAACUUCUGGAAACCGGAGCCAUUACCGGCUUCUAUAUUGAACCUCAUGGUUCAAUACUUUAAGGCUGUUUUUCUUGCACUUUUUGAUGGAUCCGCCGCGCCUUAUCUAGUUGGUAAAGUGACGGCUUACUACGGCAACGAUGCGUAGCCGACCUCAGAGGGUGAUCGGCGACAAUGGUACUGAGACACGGUCCAGACUCAUACGGGAGGCAGCAGUAGGGAAUCUACCGCAAUGAGCGAGAGCCUGACGAAGCAACGCCGCGUGAGGGAUGAAGAUCUUCGGAUCGUAAAACUCUAUUAUUAGGGAAGGACAAAUGUGUAAGUAACUAUGCACGUCUUGACGGUACCUAAACAGAAAGCUACGGCUAACUACGUG